UGCAUUCUUCUACAUGUUGCCCUCCAG
rnacentral:piRNA from 1 species